ACAGAGGGUGCAAGCGUUGUUCGGAAUUAUUGGGCGUAAAGAGCGUGUAGGCGGCUUUGCAAGUCGGGGGGGAAAGCCCUCAGCUCAACUGAGGAAGUGCGCCCGAAACUGCAGAGCUUGAGUGCCGGAGAGGGUGGCGGAAUUCCCCAAGUAGAGGUGAAAUUCGUAGAUAUGGGGAGGAACACCGGUGGCGAAGGCGGCCACCUGGACGGUAACUGACGCUGAGACGCGAAAGCGUGGGGAGCAAACAGG
rnacentral:rRNA from 1 species